rnacentral:rRNA from 1 species
AGUGAAUAGAUACCCUGGUAGUCCUAGCCGUAAACGAUACUCGCUAGGUGUCGGCCACGGUGCGACCGUUGUCGGUGCCGUAGGGAAAGCCGUGAAGCGAGCCACCUGGGAAGUACGGCCGCAAGGCUGAAACUUAAAGGAAUUGGCGGGGGAGCACCACAACGGGUGGAGCUUGCGGUUUAAAUUGGAUUCAACGCCGGAAAUCUUACCGGGACCGACAGCAAUAUGAAGGCCAGGCUGAAGACUUUGCCGGAUUAGCUGAGAGGUGGUGCAUGGCCGUCGUCAGUUCGUACUGUGAAGCAUCCUGUUAAGUCAGGCAACGAGCGAGACCAACGCCCACAGUUGCCAGCGUACUCUCCGGAGUGACGGGUACACUGUGGGGUACCGCGCUGCUAAAGCGGAGAGGAAUGGCAACGGUAGGUCAGUAUGCCCCGGAAUA